rnacentral:rRNA from 1 species
AAAGGGUGCGUAGGCGGGUAGGUAAGUCAGUGGUGAAAUCCUGGAGCUCAACUCCAGAACUGCCAUUGAUACUAUCUAUCUUGAAUAUUGUGGAGGUAAGCGGAAUAUGUCAUGUAGCGGUGAAAUGCUUAGAUAUGACAUAGAACACCCAUUGCGAAGGCAGCUUACUACGCAUAUAUUGACGCUGAGGCACGAAAGCGUGGGGAUCAAACAGGAUUAGAUACCCGUGU